GUCUCACGGUUUAAAUAAAGCUCUGUUCUUCAGCUGUGAAAAAUGACGUGCAGCCUUCUCCAUUGUGGAGAUUGGUCCGGUGGCACUGACCCGACCCCCUUUACGUGUGCGCGCACAGAUCUGAACUGGAUUCAGUUAUCGAGUUGAUAUCCUGCUUCGUAGUACAGCUGAUCGGGAUCGCGGAGAUCCGGUGAAGUUGAGCGAGUUGUCGCAGAGUUAUCCUGGAUUUGUUAAUCCAGCUUCGUAGUACAGGCCUCUGGUCUUUGAUGUGUAAAAUCCAUCAAGCCUUAAAGCUGAGACCAGGUCCAAACGUGGCCAGGGGGAAAGACGCAAGGUAACAAAUAAGAACACCAUGCUAUCUAACUGGCAUAACUUCCUGAGG